AGGGAGGCCUUGAAUAGAUCCAAGGCUUCCUUACCUUAUGGAAUGGCCCUGACAGUUAUUUUUAGAUAGUUUGGUAUGAGUUUUGAGGGGGAGGCUAUGUGCAGGCUGUUGAACACUAACACUUACAAUGAUCAUUCCCUUCGAUGUGUGGGUUUCAUUAGAGUGGAUGGUCGAUGGACCAAGGGUCGAGGUGCUAUAGUUGUGGAGGAAG
rnacentral:lncRNA from 1 species